rnacentral:rRNA from 1 species
UUUUGUAUAUAAUUUAAGGUCUAGCCUGCCCACUGAAAUUUUAAAUGGCCGUGGUAUUUUGACCGUGCUAAGGUAGCAUAAUCAUUAGUUUUUUAAUUAAAAACUGGAAUGAAAGGUUGGAUGAGAAAAUAGCUGUCUCUAUUAAAUUUAAUUAGAAUUUUAUUUUUAAGUUAAAAAGCUUAAUUAUUAUUAAAAGACGAGAAGACCCUAUAGAGUUUAAUUAUUUAGUAAAAAUUAUAUUUUUAGUAUUAAUUUAUUUAUUUUAUUAAAUAAUUUAAUUGGGGUGAUUGAAAAAUUUAAUUAACUUUUUUUAUUUAAGAACAUUAAUUUAUGAAUAAAUGAUCCAAUAUUUUUGAUUAUAAGAUAAAAUUACCUUAGGGAUAACAGCGUAAUUUUUUUAGAAAGUUCAUAUUAAAAAAAAAGAUUGCGACCUCGAUGUUGGAUUAAAAUAAAUUUUUGGUGUAGAAGCUAAAAUAUUAGGUCUGUUCGACCUUUAAAAUUUUA